UGUGCCUGAUCAGCACAUCGGGAGUGACUGAAUAAACUUACUGGCAUAUAGCUGGUUAAGGUGAUGAGACACAGGUGGUGCUGCUGCGAAAGCAGAAUCGACUUACCAGUCGGGUCUCAGGCAGAGGAGUUUUUCUAAACUGUAGAAAUGCCCUCCUCUUGUCGGUACACAGGAAUCCGACCUCCCUCUUU
rnacentral:ncRNA from 1 species